GUUCCCUAGAAGCCUAAGAGCCUUAAUGUACGGAAAUAUUCCUUGGCUAUGUAGAUCAAUCAAGUAUUUCUCAGCGUCAACAAAUCGUGUAAUCUCACUUCCAACUCGGGGGGAAAUGCAGCAUGAAGAGUCCAACCUCUAUGAAUGAUUUUAUGGUAAUGUAGGGAGUCAUCUCGGCAAAGGUUGCAAUCAACUUUGGCCGAUAAACGCUUCUCCCGUUGGGCCAACUGUUAGGUGGUCUGCCAGCUCAAAUAGCUUCUUGAGUGUGAUGAUAUCUAGCCGCCUACCCGCUAAUCACGAAGAGGCCUCCCUCAGUUGGAGGAUUCUACUGCGGUAGACAGAGCAAGUGCACAUUUAACAAAUUUUAUUACGAAGAUCAUCUGUUAGACUGAUCCCUGCAAGAAUCCACGGUGCCUCGUUUACUUCUGCAUUGGAAAUGCCUCUACCUUGAGUGAUCACCUCCUUAACAUCAGAACCUCCAGAAGGAACCAGCCCUCCUGACACCUGGACUUGAGCUCAGUGAGACUGGUUUUGAGUUCUAACCUCCAGAACUGUAAGUAAUAAAUUUAUGCUGUUUUAUGCCACUAAAUUUGCAGUAAUUUGUUACAGCAGCAGUAAGA